AGCUGGCUGAAAUGUAGGGUGUGUCUCUGUAUGUAUGAGUUUAUGGGGUGGGGUCAGCAGUGGUCUCUCCUCUUCCCAUACACACCUUACGGAUUCUUCACAGGGUGUGAUGAUGGGAAGCCUAGACACGCUUAUCAGAAUCCAUUUGGUGGUUUCUAUCAUUAGCAUCUCACUAUGCCAGUAAAUGAGCUGUUGAAGCCUGAAGUAGGGGCUCCUCCUGUUAUUGAUUGUUAAGCAUUUCACAACACAUUUUCAAAACAUGCUGAAGGUCAAGAAUGGAUGACUCAUAGGCAGUAACAGUUCCUUCUGCCUCAGUCCCUCGUUUGUCCUCUUAUCGGGAUACGUCAGAAAUUAGAGAGACCCUGGCAAUCACAGCUUCCACCUCCUCAUUUUACAAAUGAGCAACUAGGCUCAGAGUACAGAAGUGGCUUUCCCAGGGUCACACAGCCAGCUUGUGACAGAGUCAGGAUUCAAGUACCAUCUCCUGACUUCUCCAUUGCACCAGACGUCGAUAGAACACAGAGAACCUAAAAGAAGAAAGAAAAAAAAAUAGAGCUUUUGGGAAUAUAUUGGGCUUCUGGUUUUCAAGGACAAUUUUAUGAUAAGUAGCAAUGAUGCCUCAAAAGCUCUGGUAGCUAGCUUGAAUGAACUUAUGUAAUAAACAUUUAUCACAGAACAUGUGUCAUCAAACACCUGCCAGUUCUGAGCGUUGGCACCAAAGCUGCUUUCAUUGUCAAAGAAAAGAGGGGGAAAGGAACUUGGCUGAACAAAGCUGGCAGACGUUUAUACUAGAAAAUUUAGAGGUAAUUUCUAGAGGAACAGAAACACAUUUUCAAAGUCUUAUAAAAUUUAUUUAAAUGUGAUUGGGUGAAUUUAGCAGUUAAAGAAGUGAAGAACACUGAGGUCCAAUUGGUGCCUGAGGCUUCUUCCAGGACCCAGUCUUUUCUGUCUGCCUUGGGCACAGAUUUCUAGAUGCCUGAAGAUGGACAGGCCCAGAGGUUGCCCAGAGUGAUGUCUGAGAUUACUGAUCUCUAUCUAGGCUUCCAUAGAAACACAUCCCAAAACGUUCUUGGUUCUUAUUGGAAUCUCAUCUCAUUUGCAGAACAUGGCCAGAGUCAAAGAGACAUGGACCAUGUGUCACUCAGACUGAGUCCAUCCAUACAAAGAGAAUUCUCUAGCCUGUAUUGGAAGUCAAUCUACAUCAGCAUGACAGGGCAUGUAGCCGAAUACGUGGCCACUUCCCUUUGGCUACCCACACAUUUUUGAACUGCAAGAUCUGUUCUUUAUCUACUCAUCUAAUGGUUAUUACUGGGAGAGCACUGGACUAUAAAUUCUGUUGCACUUGCAGGUGUAAUGAGCUCUUUGAACCUCAGUUUCCUCACCCAUCAGAUACUAUUCAUUAUCUGCCUUGCGGACAACACCUAGUUGUUGGGAACAUUGCAUGAAUGGCAGGUGGAGGUGCUUUGUAAACGCUAAAGCCUGCCAUGAAUGUGAAGGAGUGUUGCUACUCUUCUGUGCCCAACAAUGUGCUAGCACCAAGGGAGUUCAAAAGAAAUGUGAGACAUGGUCCCUACCCUCCAGGAACUUACAACUCAUUGUUGGGAGACCAAGACACAUCCCCUAAAAACAGAUAUGUAACACCUCAAGUCUGUGAAGUACUUACUAUUUAAAUGAUGCCCAGAGCCUCUGAAUCCCCUAGAAGUACAGAGGAGGGGGAGAUCAUUAAUGGUGUGGAGAAGUUGGAGGAGGUGAGACGAUGCCAGCUUCUGGAUCUACAAUGGCUGCAUCAUCUUGUCAUUCAGGCCUCAGUUCUAAUGUCAUUUCUGUAGAGCAAGUUCACUUGACUGAUGUAACUAAGGUAUCUCUCUUUAGAACCAGAUGUCAGGAGCAAGGGAGCACCAGUGGUAGAAGAACCUGCCUCCCCUGGCUCCAUCAAAGGCCACAGGCCCAUGAGAAUCACCCGGCCUGCUCUGAGCAGCACACUCGGAGGCCACAGCCACGCACAGGAAAGUGAGAGGAAGUGGAAACGUGCGAGCAGAGGGCUCAAAGCGACGGGCUCACCACCGGCUCAGAAAUAGUGUAACUGAUAUGCAAAGAAGAUCAAAACAA
rnacentral:lncRNA from 10 species